rnacentral:rRNA from 2 species
CAGGUUUACCUGUGUGACUGCGUACCUUUUGUAUAAUGGGUCAGCGACUUAUAUUCUGUAGCAAGGUUAACCGAAUAGGGGAGCCGGAGGGAAACCGAGUCUUAAUUGGGCGUUAAGUUGCAGGGUAUAGACCCGAAACCCGGUGAUCUAGCCAUGGGCAGGUUGAAGGUUGGGUAACACUAACUGGAGGACCGAACCGACUAAUGUUGAAAAAUUAGCGGAUGACCUGUGGCUGGGGGUGAAAGGCCAAUCAAACCGGGAGAUAGCUGGUUCUCCCCGAAAGCUAUUUAGGUAGCGCCUCGUGAAUUCAUCUCCGGGGGUAGAGCACUGUUUCGGCUAGGGGGCCAUCCCGGCUUACCAACCCGAUGCAAACUGCGAAUACCGGAGAAUGUUAUCACGGGAGACACACGGCGGGUGCUAACGUCCGUCGUGAAGAGGGAAACAACCCAGACCGCCAGCUAAGGUCCCAAAGUCAUGGUUAAGUGGGAAACGAUGUGGGAAGGCCCAGACAGCCAGGAUGUUGGCUUAGAAGCAGCCAUCAUUUAAAGAAAGCGUAAUAGCUCACUGGUCGAGUCGGCCUGCGCGGAAGAUGUAACGGGGCUAAACCAUGCACCGAAGCUGCGGCAGCGACGCUUAUGCGUUGUUGGGUAGGGGAGCGUUCUGUAAGCCUG